rnacentral:lncRNA from 7 species
GGGGGGUUGAAUGGGGUUAAAUUGAGGGGGGGGGCACUGGGGGGCGAUGGGGGUAUGUGGGGAUUGGAUGGGGGAUAAUGGGGGGGAUUGGGAGGAAAUUGGGGGGGCACUGGGGGGGCGAUGGGGUUAUAAGGGGGUUAUAAUGGGGUUGUAUUGGGAUUACAAUGGGGGGGCUGGGGGGGCCAAUGGGGUUAUAAUGGGGCUGUAUUGGGAUUAGAAUGGGGGGGCAAUGAGAUUAUAAUGGGGUUGUAUUGGGAUUACAUUGGGGGGAGCACUGGGAUUAUAAUGGGGUUCUAUUCGGAUUACAAUGGGGGGCACUGGGAUUAUAAUGGGGUUCUAUUGGGAUUACAAUGGGGGGAGCACUGGGAUUAUAUGGGGUUCUAUUGGGAUUACAAUGGGGGGGGCCACUGGGAUUAUAAAUGGGUUCUAUUGGGAUUACAAUGGGGGGGCAAUGGGGUUGUACUGGGAUUAUAAUGGGGUUAUACUGGGAUUAGAAUGAGGCGGCAAUGGGAUUGUAAUGGGGUUAUAAUGGGGUUAUACUGGGAUUAAACUGGGAUUAGAAUGGGGGGGCAAUGGGGUCAUACUGGGAUUUGCAGCCCGUGCAUAGGAAUGCAACCUCGUUGCAACACGUGCAUUGCAACGUGAGCACCGCACACCUCGAGGGUUGCAACGCAGCUACUUUGCAGCUCCUGCACUGCUGCUGUGCAUUGCAAUGGCAAUGGGUUGUGCUGGAGAUUUGCAGCCCAUGCAUCAGAAUGCAAGCCCAUUGCAACA